GCGAUGUAGCUCAGACGGUUAGAGCGCACGACUCAUAAUCGUGAGGUCGAGGGUUCGAUCCCCUCCAUCGC
rnacentral:tRNA from 2 species